AAAUCACACAUUAUGUGAUUUGGUUUCCUCAGGAAUUUGAGAGGAAAACUCUGGAUCCCUGUGAAUUGGGCUUAAUUGCAUCCCAUAGGUGCUGGACAUAUUUUACCUGCGUUGGAUUUGUUCUGUGGGACCCCAGAAUCUCCAUCCAUUUCUUCCUCCUCCCCUGCCCUCAGAAGCUACAUGCAUGGUGAACUUGAGGUCUUUGCCCUUAGCAGGAACAAGAUGUAGGUCUGCCAAAGGAGUCAUGACCUCACAGGCUGAGAACCGCUGUUGUGGAGGGACCUCACAAAAGAACGGGAGGCAGACUUCAGCAGUGAACACGAACUCCUCUCGUUCUUUCACUGGCUCUGAGAUACCAGAACAACAGCACAAAACGUGAUCAGCAUAGAAAUGGUCUGAGGACCUCCGCUCAUUCUUGAUGGCUACUCACCGAGAGCGUUCUACACGUGCAGAAUUUCAGCUGAGAAAGAGUUCGCACGCUCUAUAAGCAUUUUCUGCUGUGAGUCUAGAGAGGAAGACCACGUCUCCCAUGGUCACAGAAAGUCUUGAUCCUGAGCUCAACACUGGGUGUUGAAGGAAAGAAGAUGUCUAUGUAACAUGCUACCCCAGUUUCCUUCGUGUGUGUAUGUGUGUGUGUGUAAUAUGUAUGUGUACAUGUGGUAUGUGU